GACGAACGCUGGCGGCGUGCUUAACACAUGCGAGUCGAACGAUGAAGAAAAGAAUUGCAGCUUCGGCAGAAAUUCAUUUCGGAUUAGUGGCAGACGGGUGAGUAACGCGUGAGCAACCUACCUCUUACAAAGGGAUAGCCUCGGGAAACCGGGAUUAAUACCAUAUAACAUUGCGACGAAGCAUUUCGAUGCAAUCAAAGCUACGGCGGUAAGAGAUGGGCUCGCGUCCCAUUAACCAGAUGGUGAGGUAACGGCUCACCAUAGUAACGAUGGGUAACCGGCCUGAGAGGGUGAACGGUCACACUGGAACUGAGACACGGUCCAGACUCCUACGGGAGGCAGCAGUGGGGAAUAUUGCACAAUGGAGGGAACUCUGAUGCAGCGACGCCGCGUGAGUGAUGAAGGAAUUCGUUUCGUAAAACUCUGUUCUAUGGGAAGAAAAGGACUGUACCAUAGGAGAAAGCGCCGGCUAAAUACGUG
rnacentral:rRNA from 1 species